rnacentral:rRNA from 1 species
CCUACGGGAGGCAGCAGUGAGGAAUAUUGGUCAAUGGGCGAGAGCCUGAACCAGCCAAGUCGCGUGAAGGAUGACGGCCCUACGGGUUGUAAACUUCUUUUGUCAGGGAGCAAUUGGGUCCACGCGUGGGCUUAGCGAGAGUACCUGCAGAAAAAGCCUCGGCUACCUCCGUGCCAGCAGCCGCGGUAAUACGGAGGAUUCGAGCGUUCUCCGGCUUUAUUGGGUUUAAAGGUUGCGUAGGCGGAAUAUCAAGUCAGCGGUAAAAAUUCGGGGCUCAACCCCGUCGUGCCGUUGAAACUGAUGUUCUGGAGUGGGCGAGAAGUAGGCGGAAGGCGUGGUGUAGCGGUGAAAUGCAUAGAUAUCACGCAGAACUCCGAUUGCGAAGGCAGCAUACCGGAGCCCAACUGACGCUGAAGCACGAAAGCGUGGGUAUCGAACAGGAUUAGAUACCCUAGUAGUC